UGGGGAAUAUUGCACAAUGGGCGAAAGCCUGAUGCAGCAACGCCGCGUGAGUGAUGAAGGCCUUCGGGUUGUAAAGCUCUGUCUUUUGGGACGAUAAUGACGGUACCAAAGGAGGAAGCCACGGCUAACUACGUGCCAGCAGCCGCGGUAAUACGUAGGUGGCAAGCGUUGUCCGGAUUUACUGGGCGUAAAGGAUGCGUAGGCGGAUUUUUAAGUGAGAUGUGAAAUACCCGGGCUUAACUUGGGUGCUGCAUUUCAAACUGGGAAUCUAGAGUGCGGGAGAGGAGAAUGGAAUUCCUAGUGUAGCGGUGAAAUGCGUAGAGAUUAGGAAGAACACCAGUGGCGAAGGCGAUUCUCUGGACCGUAACUGACGCUGAGGCAUGAAAGCGUGGGUAGCAAACAGGAUUAGAUACCCUGGUGGUCCACGCCGUAAACGAUGAGUACUAGGUGUAGGAGGUAUCGACCCCUUCUGUGCCGCAGUUAACACAAUAAGUACUCCGCCUGGGAAGUACGAUCGCAAGAUUAAAACUCAAAUGAAUUGACGGGGUC
rnacentral:rRNA from 1 species